rnacentral:rRNA from 1 species
CCUACGGGAUGCAGCAGUGGGGAAUAUUGCACAAUGGGGGAAACCCUGAUGCAGCCAUGCCGCGUGUGUGAAGAAGGCCUUCGGGUUGUAAAGCACUUUCAGUAGGGAGGAAGAUAGUGUAGUUAACACCUGCAUUAUUUGACGUUACCUACAGAAGAAGCACCGGCUAACUCCGUGCCAGCAGCCGCGGUAAUACGGAGGGUGCGAGCGUUAAUCGGAAUUACUGGGCGUAAAGCGCAUGCAGGCGGCCUGUUAAGUCAGAUGUGAAAGCCCGGGGCUUAACCUCGGAAUUGCAUUUGAAACUGGCAGGCUAGAGUCUUGUAGAGGGGGGUAGAAUUUCAGGUGUAGCGGUGAAAUGCGUAGAGAUCUGAAGGAAUACCAGUGGCGAAGGCGGCCCCCUGGACAAAGACUGACGCUCAGAUGCGAAAGCGUGGGGAGCAAACAGGAUUAGAUACCCUGGUAGUC